rnacentral:lncRNA from 1 species
GUUUCUCUCCUCUUAUCGUUAAUUAAUUCAUGUAUCGAUUCUAAUGGCUACAUAGAAAUUUGGCCCCCAUCUGAGGUCGAUCCUCGAAGGUUCUGACAUGGAUGAUCUCUACGACCUUUGGGGAGUUGGGUACAAGGUCGAGACGUCGCUUUAAGACAACGGUGAAAUUCCUGAGAAUGUGAUGCCCGAUUAUUGCAGCGCGUACAUGACGUACUUCAAGGAUUGCUGAUAUAUGGUGUUUUUGGCAUCUUGUAUAUAUGUUUUCUAAUUGGUUUUCAAGUCUUUAUCGAGUCUUCCUAGUCCUUUUCGAAUCAUUACAGGUCUGGAGUUGCAUUGGAUGGGAGAUAGACCAGUUGGAGGAAGAGAGGCAGAAAAUAGUGCAAUAUGGUGAUUUUCACGCAGAACAGUCUUGAUGGUUGUUCCCGAUCGCGCGGAACACCCCGAGUGCCUGUUCCAGCGGCAGAGAUUUUUAAGGAAGUUUCAAAUAUUUCGGGAUUUUACCUAGGGCUUUCCCCUUUUACUCCCAGGCCGCCAUAGACCUGCAUAUAUAUCUUUUCUUAUUAUUCUAGACAUUCUACGUAACUUUUUAGAGAGAUUUUGGAGAGAG